UUUCCACUAUGCAGCAAGCGAGCCAGCGAGACCACAGUCUGGGUCAACACCUUCAAGGUGUUGCUGGAUGAGUUCAAGAACGGCGUACAAGCCCACGGACGGCACCAUCGGCAAGGUUCCCAAACCAGAACGCAAGAAGAGGAGGAAAAGGGAAAGCGAUAUUGAUACAGUCUCAUCCAGAAACAAUUAUCAUCGAACACAGUAUUUAUUUUGUUCUUGUCUCCUGCAGUACAUGUUGUGAGAGAUGUCAGAUGAACGGUGCUUGUGUGUGUUUGGCAGGUGGAGGAGCAUAACGGGCACAUGUUUAGGCCCGCCCAGUACAGCAUCCCCACCUACUGCGAGUACUGCUCGUCUCUCAUCUGGAUGAUGGACCGCGCCUGUGUCUGCAAACUACAUGCUACAUGUCUCCCCAGCCUGCCUGCCUGCCUGCCUGCCUGCCUGCCUGUCUGUCUGCCUGCCUGCAGCUCUGAUAUCAACCGUAGCUCGCCUUCCUGGUUUUUGACUGACUGGCGGGCGAAUGGCAGAUGAUUUUACAGCUGGUAAAGAGGUUAGAACCGGCUCUGCGGAGUCUGUGUAUCUUCUCCUUCCUCCAGUGUGUCGCAACCGCGUGCCACAGGAAAUGUUGCUCCAGGAUGACCAGUCAGUGUAGUAAAAAAAAAAAAGUAGGAGGGACCUUUUUGUUGGAUACAGAUAAACGUUAUCACUGUUAAUAAAUGUAACAUAUUCAUAGUGUAUAGACAACAUUUUAUACCUUGGACCGCAAUCUCAAUGGCUGUCAGUGUGUACGUGUGUGUGUACGUGUGUCUGUGUGUGUGUGUGUGUGUUUAGUGCGACCCAGAGCUGUCUUCCAGGCAGUUUGGAGUGGAGCUGUCUCGUCUGACCAGCGAGGAGAGGACAGUACCUCUAGUGGUGCAGAAGCUCAUCAACUACGUCGAGAUGCACGGCCUGUAUACAGAGGGCAUCUUCAGGAAGUCUGGCUCUACCAAUAAGAUCAAGGAGCUCCGGCAAGGCCUGGACGCGGGCAUGGUUAAGGGGUUAACAGGGUUCUCAGCCCGCCAUGUUUAUUUGUGGGAUUAUUAAAGGUUGGGCGCCCUGACCUCCUCCCCCUUUCUGUGUCAGAUGUGAACAGCAUGAAUCUGGACGACUACAAUAUCCACGUCAUCGCUAGCGUGCUCAAACAGGGGCUACGCGACCUCCCCAACUCCUGAUGACCUUUGAACUCUACGAGGAGUUCCUGAGAGCCUUGGGUAAGGACAGCCAUCCUGACUGACUGGAUCCUGGCUUUUCAAGUACCGCGGAACUGGCUAUUUGUAGGUGUAACAAGAAUGGAUAGCUUUGACAGAUCUAGCCAGGGUGGCUUUUUGCAUGGCGUCAGCACGUUCUUUAGCAAGCUGACCUGCCCUUCAGUGUUUGUCUUCAGCAGAAACCUUGAGAGUGUGUGUGUGUCGGCAGCGGCCUGUUGCUGAAGUAUUCUGAAUGGUUGCUCCUCUGCAGGCCAGGCAGACAGGCGGGACGAGU